UACGUAGGGCGCAAGCGUUGUCCGGAAUUAUUGGGCGUAAAGAGCUCGUAGGCGGCUUGUCACGUCGGUUGUGAAAGCCCGGGGCUUAACCCCGGGUCUGCAGUCGAUACGGGCAGGCUAGAGUGUGGUAGGGGAGAUCGGAAUUCCUGGUGUAGCGGUGAAAUGCGCAGAUAUCAGGAGGAACACCGGUGGCGAAGGCGGAUCUCUGGGCCAUUACUGACGCUGAGGAGCGAAAGUGUGGGGAGCGAACAGG
rnacentral:rRNA from 1 species